rnacentral:rRNA from 1 species
GACGAACGCUGGCGGCGUGCUUAACACAUGCAAGUCGAACGGAAAGGCCCUGCUUUUGUGGGGUGCUCGAGUGGCGAACGGGUGAGUAACACGUGAGUAACCUGCCCUUGACUUUGGGAUAACUUCAGGAAACUGGGGCUAAUAACGGAUAGGAGCUCCUGCUGCAUGGUGGGGGUUGGAAAGUUUCGGCGGUUGGGGAUGGACUCGCGGCUUAUCAGCUUGUUGGUGGGGUAGUGGCUUACCAAGGCUUUGACGGGUAGCCGGCCUGAGAGGGUGACCGGCCACAUUGGGACUGAGAUACGGCCCAGACUCCUACGGGAGGCAGCAGUGGGGAAUAUUGCACAAUGGGCGGAAGCCUGAUGCAGCGACGCCGCGUGCGGGAUGACGGCCUUCGGGUUGUAAACCGCUUUCGCCUGUGACGAAGCGUGAGUGACGGUAAUGGGUAAAGAAGCACCGGCUAACUACGUG